GUGCUCACUCUGGCACCAUAUAUCCAAAAAUUGGAAUGUACAGAGAAGAUUAAACAGGCCGUGUGAAAGGAUGACAUGCAAAUAUGUGAAGUUGUUUCAUGUUUUU